AUGCUGGUGGUGCAGGAGUGUGUGAGGACUAAAGUGCUGAAGAUCACACCACCUGUGUCCCACUGCCUCCAUCCCCUCGUGCCAGGAUCUGCUGUGCUCCAGGGCCAUGGAGGAGCAGGUGCAGCAGGAGAUGCCAUCAGCCCAGUGCACAGGUCAGUCCUUGGGCAUGAGGCUCCAGAGAUGAGAUCAUGCCAGGUUCUUCCCAGGCUAGAGGAGGCCACUGGGACCUGUCAGGCUGUCCUCAGCUGCUCGUUCAGUCUAAGAGCAUUUAGAGAUGUCACUAAUAUCUCUUGGCAAUGGUUUUCCACAGGAGGCCACCACCCCAUGCAGGAGGGAGAGGUGUUCAACACACGAUACCAGGUGCUGCACAAACUGGGAUGUGGCGCCUUUGCCACUGUCUGGCUGUGCCAGGACAUGAGGUGAGGGGCUGAGUGCCACUCAGGGGGGUGGGAAGGGGUGGCUGAUGUCCUGGGCAGGGCUGGCUCCUCUUGCAGAAACAGCAGAGCACAGCCUGGGAGAAUGCCAGGCAUCCCUGAGCACAGGGAAAAGCUGACUGCAAGAUCAGUGGGGUGCAACGAGCAGAACUGGUCC
rnacentral:lncRNA from 1 species